AUGACAGUGAAAAUUAUUGAGGCUUUCCAUGCUAGUCCCCUGGGAGUACAUUCAGGUGUGCCAGUCACCUUGCGGAAGCUCAAGAAAUUAUUCUAUUGGAAAGGCAUGACUAAUCAAGUGCAUAAGAUGGUGCAAGAAUGCUUGAUCUGUCAACGUGCUAAACCAGAUCGUGCUAAAUACCCUGGACUUCUUGCUCCUUUGCCAGUUCCUUCUCAGUACUGGCAACUACUUGCUAUGGAUUUUGUCGAAGGCCUUCCAAAAUCAGGUUGCUUUAAUUGCAUUCUAGUGGUUGUGGACAAGCUGUCCAAGUAUGCACAUUUUAUUGGUCUUCAGCAUCCCUUUAUUGUAUCCACGGUGACUACAGCGUUCAUGGACAACAUAUACAAGCUUCACGGGAUGCCUGAAUCAAUUGUUAUUGAUAGUGAUUGUAUCUUUACCAGUCGUUUUUGGCGAGAGAUUGCUGCUCUGACAAGCACUAAGCUCAAGAUGAGUUCUUCCCAUCAUCCCUAG
rnacentral:rRNA from 1 species